AAAAAAACCCAGUCUGAGCAGAGAGAAAGUCUCUGCUUUGAAGGAGGAAAAAAAGACAAAGAUGAAGCUCACUGCUCCUGGCACUGGAACUGAAGGGAACACGCAGGUCAUCUGAGGUCAAGUUCAGGGCAUGCAGCCAGCCACCAGGCGGGAAGGAAGCAGAGUGAAUGCCUGCCUGCUCUCCCAGCCCUCCACCUUCUGAGCAGAAGUCCCACACUGGCCCCCUUUGCUGGGUCUCCCAAGGGACCUCAGAGACUCCUUCCAGACCCGGGCAUUUGGGCUCUGGCCUCAAAGACACAGCCUACGUAGAAAUGCUGAAAGAAACAGAAAAAUCAUCAUUGACAUCCAACACCAGCACUGGAAUGUUCAUCAGAGCCUCAAAGUGGAGCCUAUAAGAAGCGUGAACGUUUGGGGGACAGAAAAAAAGAAAAGUAAUUUGAGUCAAGUUUCACAUACUUGCCAAGUCUUUCUUACUCAGAGAACAGCUCUAAAUUCAACAUGACUUUUCAAUGAAACUGCGUGUAAACUGCAUUUAAAAAAACAAAUUCAAUAAAGUUGGCUGGAAACAGAAA